GCAGCCUCGACAAGUUUAGGACUGUGCUGAAGGGAUCGAUCUGUUUCAGAUUGGAUGCUCUAAACACUUUGCAGUGGCUGGAGUGGAGCACCAGUAGCAGGACUGGGACUGCUGGGGCUUAACAACAUCAGUGCAACGUCUGGUAGCAGUGAAUUGUGAACAGAUGUGAACUGGGUGCAGAGAAGUCAUGCUGGGCUCCAGCAGCACUGCGUGCCUGCCGCGGCAAAGCCUGUCCCCUGCUCCUGAGCACUGACACCAGGCAGGAAAGCUCUUCUGCCAGACGAGCAAGAAGAGAUCUGGGCUGGCAGAGCAUCCUCCGGAGGAGCAAUAGGUUCUUUGUGUUUAAACCAAGGAGACGGCCUCUGUGGAUGAUUUGGGUGCUCCCUCAGUCCCUGUGUUCUGAUUUACCUACUGUAAAAUAAACUGCUUUUUGAGAAGAAUUGUAUUCUCUAGUUGCCUGAGUGCUGAACCUCCUCCUGCUUCUACCAAUGGGAGCAGGCAAGGCCAAACCCCCAUCUUCUCCCCAUCCUUCACUGACGUGU